GUAGGCGUGCCGGAGUGGUUAUUGGGCACUACUAGAAAUCAUGUGGGCUUUGCCCGCGUAGGUUCGACUCCUAUCGUUCACG
rnacentral:tRNA from 1 species